CAACGGAUCUCUUGGUUCUGGCAUCGAUGAAGAACGCAGCGAAAUGCGAUAAGUAAUGUGAAUUGCAGAAUUCAGUGAAUCAUCGAAUCUUUGAACGCACAUUGCGCCCGCCGGUAUUCCGGCGGGCAUGCCUGUUCGAGCGUCAUUUCACCACUCAAGCCCAGCUUGGUG
rnacentral:rRNA from 1 species